GAGGCGUGGCACGGAGGGGUUUCUGCUGCACCGAUUAUGAGCAGAGUAACUCCAACUGAGUUAGCCAUGCAGCAUCCACGCUGUAAGGUGGAGCGAUUGCAGGUCAGGAUGACAGAGGCGCCUGUGGUCUUGUGAGAUCAGGUUCGGCCACAGCGGGAGUGUGAUUGGAGUCUCUACCAAUAACUCCAGGAGUGUGGUAUACCAGUGCUGCCUGGGCCAUGCGGGGGCGACCAGAAUCAUAUGUGCUUUGUCCCUGCGUAACUUGAGCAGGACCUGUGGACUAGCAGGAAUGGAGGGAAGGCGUAGAACAGCUGGUCCUUCCACAGAAGUAGGACAGCGUCUGGUAGGGAACCCGGAGAACGCCCCUGGAGAGAACAGAACACUUGGCACUUCUGGACUGUUGCACAAGGUGAACAGGUUGACCUGGAGAAACCCCUACCUCAGGAAGAUGGAAUGGAUGAUGUCUGGGCGAACUGACCACUCAUGAGGCUGGAAGGACCUGCUGAGGUGGUCUGCCAGCGUGUUCUGGACCCCCAGGAGAAACAACGCCACUAGAUGUAUCGAGUGGACUAUGCGGAACUCCCACAGGCGAAUGGCCUCCUGGCACAGGGGGGACGACUGGAUUCUCCCUUGCUUGUUGAUGUAGAACAUGGGAGUAGUGUUGUCUGUGAGGACUGCCACACAACAGCCAUGCAGGUGCCUGUGAAAUGCCUGACACGGUAGGCGUACUGCCAUCAGCUCUCAUACACUGAUGUGCAGAGUUAGUUCGGAUGUGGUCCAAAGGCCCUGCGUUUGGUGUUCCCCGAGGUGGGCGCCCCAUCCCAGAGAUGAUGUGUCUGACUAGGAAUAAGGAGGUUGUGGGGUGUGAAAUGGUACUCCUUCACACACCGACGUAAGGUCCAACCACCAACGGAGGGAGGUCAGAAUCAAUUCUGGAACAGUGACCACCAUACUCAGGCUGUCUUGACCUGGUCAAUAUACUGUUGAUAACCAGGCCUGAAGAGGGAGAACGGGAUUGUACCUGGUCCCUGGUGUGGCCCCGAAAGAGCCAGUCGUCGAGAUACGGAGUGGGGGUUGGGUGAUGGAGUGUGCUUACAUGAGUUGGCUCAUUCGGAGAUACGGAAACACUUACACUUGUCGAUGAAGGUAGGCUGCCACGAUGGCUAUACACUUGGUGAACACCAUGGGAGCCGUGGACAGCCUGAAGGGAAGGACAGCAAAUUGGUAGUGUUUGUGAUUGAUCAGAAAGCGAAGGAAGCGUCUGUGCGCUGGGUAAAUCACUAUGUGGAAGAACAUGUCCUUCAUGUCGAGGGCGGCGUACCAGUCUCCAGGAUCCAAGGAAGGAAUAAUGGUCCCCAGUGAAACCAUGCGGAACUUCAACUUUACCAUGAAUGUGUAGAGUCCACGCAGAUCUAGGAUGGGCUGAAGCCCACCCUUGGCCUUGGGAAAUUGGGAAACAGCUGGAGAAAAAACCCCUGCCCCUUAGCUCCCUUGGAACCUCCUCAAUUGCUCCCAUGGACAGGAGUGUUAGGACCUCCUGUAUAAGGAAUUGCUUGUGAGAGGGGUCGCUGAAGAGGGAUGGAGGGGUGGGAGAGAAGGAAAACUGGAGAGAAUAUUCUGUUUCCCCCCCCAUGCAAAGAACCCACCAGUCUGAAGUUAUAUAGGAUCACGCAUGGUGGAAAUGGGAGACACGAUAUCGAAAUGGAGGGGAAGGAUCCUGGAUGGUGACUGGUAUGCCAUCCUCGCGCGCACUUUCAAAAGUUUUGCCUAGGCCCCAUCGAUGGUUUGGGAGGGCCUUGGUUCUGAUCGAGUUGGCGGCCGGUGGAUUUCUUUCUACCACCUCGUCCGCCUCUUCUAUAAAAGUUCUGCCUUGGACAGCUGGCGGGGGGGAAGGGAGGAGAGCGGAGGAGGAGGAGAACUGUUACCAGGAUGUGCAUUCCCAGGGAGCACAUGAUAGCCCUGGAAUCUUUCAGGCUCUGUAGUCCAGAGUCCAUUUUGUCUGAGAACAGGCCCUGUCCACCAAAUGGCAGAUCCUGCAGGGUCUGUUGUAGCUCUGGUGGUAGGCCAGAUACCUGUAGCCAGGAGAUGUGUUGCAUGGCUAUGUCCGAUGCCAGGGUCCUAGCCACAGAUUCUGCCGCAUCUAGGGAGGCCUGUAUGGAGGUCCUAGCCACCUUUUUUACCUCUUCCACUAAGGCCUCAAACUCAUCCCUGGACUCCCGUGGAAUUAACUCCUUAAAUUUCACCAUAUUGUUCCAUGAGUUAUAGUCAUAACGGCUCAGGAGCACUUGUUGGUUUGUGACCCUGAGCUGAAGACCCCCCGCUGAAUAAAUCUUGCACCCAAACAAAUCAAGAUGCCUGGUGUGUCUGUGUCGACUCUCCGGGGCAUGGUGUGGACCAGUAUCGGGUCGCUGGAGAGCGGUGCCAGCGAGGCGCUAGGGAGCAUUACCUGGGUCAAGAUUGGCAUUGAUGACCAAGCCAGUACCGGGAUCCAGAUCUGGAUUGCAAAGACCACUGCCUGCGGGAGCAGUGCUGGGAUUGGCUCCGGAAAGGAGACUGGCACUUUGAUCAGUGCUGGGAGCGACAUCGGGAGUCCGAAAGGUACCGCAGCCCAGAGCUGUGCCGUGAGGCAGAUAGGUGCCGCGAGUACGACCAGAACCACAAGUAUGAGUGGUGUUGGGUUGGGACCUGCUCCGGGAUUGGGAGCAGUGCCAUGUUUCCACACUAGGAGAUGGCGGGCAUUUUAGAGUUGGCUUGCCCCUAGACUGUACUGUACGGGUCGGAGGCGGUGCCAUAGUCUGCACUGGUGCAGGCUCUGUGAGGGCAAUGAGGUCUCUCGCUGUUGCAAAUGUCUCUGGCGUCGACGGAAACUGGGGCUCAACCCGGUCCAGGUUGGGGAGCUAGUGUGCACCGGACUCAACGGCUCCUCCCUCGGUGCAGGAGUCAAUGGUGCCGAUAUCGGUGCUUGUACCCUUGGUCGCUCAAGUGCCGGACACGACUCCGAGGUUGGCAAAUCAGGUGCCAGCGCCUGUUGCUGAGAGAGAGUCACCUCCAGCUUGCGCUGUCUCUUCUUGCCUGGAGACAGGGAACAGCGCUGAGUCACUUGCACUGGACACGGUUCUGAAGAGGUCUGGUGCCACAGGCCUCUGAGACCACCCGCAGUGCAGUACGUGAAGCUGUAGCUGGGGCACUGCGCACCGACAUGCUUGGUGCCAGAACUUGGCGUGCUGAUGGGGGAAUCCAUGCUAAGGGCUGUCUCCAGAAGGAGCUGCUUGAGCCUGAAGUCCCGCUCCUUUUUGGUUUGAGGUCUGAACGCCUUACAGAUCCUAUACUUGUUGGCCUGGUGAGACUCUGAGACAUUUCAAACAAGUCGUGGGGGUCUCCUGUUGGCAUAGGCUUUGAGCAGGCUGAACACAGUUUAAAACCCGGAGCCUUGGAUACGAGCCCGAGCGGCAGGCAGGCAGGAAGGGGGAGGACCCCUUCCAAUCUGCUAAAUCUAAUU